rnacentral:tRNA from 1 species
GUUCCUGUAGUUGAGGUUAGUCAACGGUGGUUUUUCAGACCAUAGACCUUGGAGAAAGGCCAAGCAGGAAUG